GAUUUUCGAAAAUCUGACUAUUCCAAACGAAAGAGCAUACUUAUUUCUAUAUAAUGGCAUAUUCUUUAGAGAUUUUUUCUAAAUAGUUAAAAUUUUAUGAGGAAUAUAGACAAAAUUUUAGUAUCGUUCGUUAGCGAAUUUUCACGGUUUUUUCAAUACUAAAUUGAAAAAAAGUGAUACUUCUAAGCCGAAUUUCGAACAUCGGUCUAUUCCAAACGAAAGAGCAUACUUUUUUCAAUAU